rnacentral:tRNA from 1 species
GAGCCAUUAGCUCAGUUGGUAGAGCACCUGACUUUUAAUCAGGUUUUCAAAGGUUCAAACUUUCAUGGUUCA